UUCUCCUCCUUCCCCAGUGGGGCCAGCAUGGACAAGGAAGGGAAGCAAGAGGCAAAUUUAGCAGUGACCCUGUAAAGCCUCCAUCCCAUAUCUCUGUCCUCCCAAGCCAUGCCCAGAGGUCCCAUGUGCUGAACUGGGGGCCCAAGGGAGACCAGUGGAAGCCAGCACUGAAGGACACCGAGCCAGAUCAACUCGAGGACCUGAUUCACAGCCUAGCCCCACGACCUGUUGUGCCAGCACAACGAAGGAGAAUCACAGGAGCACGAGCGGCCAAGAAUGCUUCAAGCGAGCAUCACUGCCAAACGUGGAUCCUCCUCCUGCAUGCAUGCAGCAGAGAUCUGGGAUGAGAGUCUGUGAGGAUUACAAGAAACCAGGAGUGAUAACAGAGCCGGAAAGGGCACAGAAGAGUUUCCUGCAAUGUCUUGAAGAGGAAAGGCUUCAUCAGCUGCUCCCAUGUGCCCACAGGGGCUUGGCACUGGGAUUUCCAGUCCCAAAAGACUAAAGCUCUGCAGGCAGACACAAAGGAGAUGCUUUCUGCUGUGGGAAGCUCAGCGCUGUGGAGCAGGUUACCAGAGAGGCUACGCCAUCUCCAGUCUUCAUUUUCAAGAACUGAGCAGGUAAAGCCCAGAUUUCAGGGCUGAGCCUGCUUUGGUUGGGCUAGAGAACCUCCUUAGAUCCUUGCUGACCUGAAUUACACCAUGAUCCUCAAUAGGGAGAGGGGGAA